UACAGAGGUCUCGAGCGUUAGGCGGAAUCACUGGGCUUAAAGCGUGUGUAGGCGGAUCGGUAAGUACCUUGUGAAAUCUCACAGCUUAACUGUGGAACUGCUUGGUAUACUGCCAGUCUUGAGCCAGCUAGGGGCUACCGGAACAAAUGGUGGAGCGGUGAAAUGCGUAGAUAUCAUUUGGAACGCCAAUGGUGAAAACAGGUAGCUGGGGCUGUGCUGACGCUGAGACACGAAAGCCAGGGGAGCAAACGGG
rnacentral:rRNA from 1 species